UACGAAGGGGGCUAGCGUUGCUCGGAAUCACUGGGCGUAAAGGGUGCGUAGGCGGGUCUUUAAGUCAGGGGGGAAAUUCUGGAGCUCAACUCCAGAACUGCCUUUGAUACUGAGGAUCUUGAGUUCGGGAGAGGUGAGUGGAACUGCGAGUGUAGAGGUGAAAUUCGUAGAUAUUCGCAAGAACACCAGUGGCGAAGGCGGCUCACUGGCCCGAUACUGACGCUGAGGCACGAAAGCGUGGGGAGCAAACAGG
rnacentral:rRNA from 1 species